UAAUGCAUGCAAGUCGAGCGAUGAGACUCCUACGGGAGCACAUCAGCGGCAGACGGGUGAGUAACACGUAGAUGACGUACCCUCAAGACGGGGAUAACGGAUGGAAACAUGCGCUAAUACCGGAUGACCUUACGAUGUCAGAAUGGUAAGGAAAGCUACGGCGCUUGAGGAGCGGUCUGCGGCCCAUCAGCUAGUUGGUAGGGUAAAGGCCUACCAAGGCGAAGACGGGUAGGGGGUGUGAGAGCACGGNCCCCACAAUGGGACUGAGACACGGCCCAUACUCCUACGGGAGGCAGCAGCAGGGAAUAUUGCACAAUGGACGGAAGUCUGAUGCAGCGACGCCGCGUGAGUGAAGAAGGCCUUCGGGUUGUGAAACUCUUUUGAGGGGGAAGAGAGAGGACGGUACCCCUGGAAUAAGCGUCGGCUAACUACGUGCCAGCAGCCGCGGUAAGACGUAGGACGCGAGCGUUAUCCGCGAUUUACUGGGGCGUAAAGCGUCUGUAGGCGGAUGUGUAAGUUGGGCGUGAAAGCUCCGGGCUUAACCCGGAGAGGCCGUUCAAUACUGCAUAACUUGAGGGUGUCAGAGGGGAGCGGAAUUCCCGGUGUAGCGGUAAAAUGCGCAGAGAUCGGGAGGAACACCAGUGGCGGAGGCGGUUCCCUGGGGCACACCUGACGCUGAGAGACGAAAGCUAGGGGAGCGAACAGGAUUAGAGACCCUGGUAGUCCUAGCCCUAAACGAUGAAUGCUAGGUGUGGGAUCGAAUGGUUCCGUGCCGGAGCGAACGCGAUAAGCAUUCCGCCUGGGGAGUACGGCCGCAAGGUUAAAACUCAAACGAAUUGACGGGGCCCCGCACAAGCAGCGGAGCGUGUGGUUUAAUUCGAUGCUACACGAAGAACCUUACCUGGGUUUGACAUGUAGGUGGUAGUGAAUCGAAAGGUGAACGACCCUUCGGGGAGCCUACACAGGUGCUGCAUGGCUGUCGUCAGCUCGUGCCGUGAGGUGUCGGGUUAAGUCCCGUAACGAGCGCAACCCUUGCUCCUAGAUACAAGUGUCUAGGGGGACUGCCGGCGGAAAGCCGGAGGAAGGUGGGGAUGACGUCAAGUCAGCAUGGCCCUUAUAUCCAGGGCUACACACACGCUACAAUGGUCGGUACAAAGGGCAGCGAAACCGCGAGGCGGAGCGAAUCCGAGAAAA
rnacentral:rRNA from 1 species